rnacentral:tRNA from 1 species
GCGGAAGUAAUUCAGUGGUAGAAUGCCUCCUUGCCAAGGAGGAUGUC